AGCUGAACAUAGACUACACAAAUAUCCAUAAACAAAUAAACAAAUCAUUUGACAAACGAAGUAGAUGUGAUCGAACAGCAAAUAUACACUAAGUACCGCAAGGGAAAGAAUACCCAAGCAAGAAACAGCAAAGACAAACCCUUGUACCUUUCGCAUCAUGGUUUAGCAAGUCAACUAGGACAAGAAGAAUCAAAGCCCACACCCCCGAAACCAGAUGAGCUACUUUUCAAGCAGCCCAUCGGGCGCACCCUUCUCUGUGGCAAAAGAGUGGGAAGACUUAAAAGUAGAAGUGAAACGCUUACCGAAUCUGGAGAUAGCUGGUUACCUAAUAAAGAAUUUUAGUUCAACUUUAGGCCAAAUAUAUACAUAAUUAUCCUUACCUAAAGACAAUCAAUAGGGGUACAGCUCUAUUGAAACAGGAAACAACCUGAAUUUGAGAAAAACUACCAUCACCUUUACCAGUAGGCCUUAAAGCAGCCACCAAAAAAAAUAUCGUUAAAGAAUUAACACAUCAACCCAAAAACCAACCAAAAAUUCCAAACAAACUAAAGGUAAACCCAUCAUUAUGGAUACCAUUAUGCUAAAACUAAUAAUAAGAACCACUCUCUACACGCACCCGUCCACUAGAAACGGAUAAACCACUAGACAUUAACAGACCAUAACAGGCAAUUAACCAAACAAUACCCACCUACACACCAAACUGUGACCCCAACACUAGGCGCGUUAAAAAGAAAGAUCAACCAUUAUAAAAGGAACUCGGCAACCAAAAACCCCAACUGUUUAACAAAAACAUAACCUUUAGCCAAACAAAUAUUAAAGGCAACGCCUGCCCAGUGAACAAUUCAACGGCCGCGGUACCCUAACCGUGCAAAGGUAGCAUAAUAAUUUGUCUAUUAAUUGUAGACCUGUAUGAAAGGCAAAAUGAGGGCUUAACUGUCUCUUAUAAUAAAUCUAUUAAACUGAUCUACCAGUAAAAAAGCUGGAAUACCCACAUAAGACCAGAAGACCCUGUGAAGCUUAAACUAAACUAUUAAACCAAAUAAUAACUACUUUCGGUUGGGGCGACCUUGGAAACAAAAAGAACUUCCAAAUAUAAAUUAUAUACCUAGGCCCACACGCCAACUAAUGACCCAGUACUACUGACAAUUGAACAAAGUUACUCCAGGGAUAACAGCGCCAUCUUCUUCAAGAGACCAUAUCAAAAAGAAGGUUUACGACCUCGAUGUUGGAUCAGGACAUCCUAAUGGUGCAACCGCUAUUAAGGGUUCGUUUGUUCAACGAUUAAUGUCCUACGUGAUCU
rnacentral:rRNA from 1 species